GAGAGGUCAGUAGCACAUAGACUAAAUUGGAACAGUUCAAAAAGGUUAGCAAUGCCCCUGCAACAGGAUGGCAUACAAAUUUGUGAAGCGUUCCAUAUUUUU